AAAGAGAGGCGAGACCGCGAGGUGGAGCAAAUCUCAAAAAGCCGUCCCAGUUCGGAUCGCAGGCUGCAACCCGCCUGCGUGAAGUUGGAAUCGCUAGUAAUCGCGGAUCAGCAUGCCGCGGUGAAUACGUUCCCGGGCCUUGUACACACCGCCCGUCACACCAUGAGAGUCGGGAACACCCGAAGUCCGUAGCCUAACCGCAAGGGGGGCGCGGCCGAAGGUGGGUUCGAUAAUUGGGGUGAAGUCGUAACAAGGUAGC
rnacentral:rRNA from 1 species